GAGAGAGGAGGGGGGGAGGGCGGAGCUCUAGAGCAAUUAGGGCGAGGGAAAGCUCUCUAGGGAUCGUCAAGCUAUUUUUAGGACAGCUAUGGGUGGACGAAACGUAGAAGUGGCAACGCUCAGACGGGCUCCACCUCAGGUCGGACCACAGCCUCCCAGACCACAAAGGCUUUGGGAGACUCUAGCGUUACAGAAUACACAUUUGAAGUAUGCACAACAAACAGCACACCAUUACUUGAUCCUUUUGUCUUUAUUUGUGGUGAGCGUGACGUACGGUGUGUACGCCGCUAAAUAACAGAGCAAACCAUGACAAUACAGCAAAAUGUCAGUUUGUUUGAGUGUGGCCUUAAUUGUGGCUUCCUUUUGGUGGUGUGGCGCGCCACUCGCCGCUCAGACUUGAGCAGAGGCCCAGAGUGUGUGACAUGAGGCACAGCAGAACUCGUGGCGCUCCGCCUCACAAUUAGCUAGUGUUCUCGUGGGCCCAUCCUUGUGCCGGCCUGCUGAGGGAGGGAGAAGGGAGAGAGGUGACCAGAGGAGGCUUGGAAGGAGCGAGAGCGGCGAGACAAAGGAUAUCAGUACUGUAGAUGGACAGCCUUCUAUCUCUGUGGCAGAAGAAGGUGUCCUCGUAGAUGACUUUGGGGAUAUCAUUCUUCACACAGAUGGUAGCGCAGCUGCUGUCAGUGACACUGCUAGUAACAAUGAUGGAGGAUUUGAGACUCCAUCGCCUGCGCUGACAAGCUUGGCAUCAAGCAUUUCAGUGCAAGAAUUCCAAGAUGACAAGUUAUCACCAUGUAUGAAGAGAAACAGAAGAGCAAAGGCUUAUGGUAAAGCCCUUGAAUUUGCAAUGAGGAUGACGACCCAGCUGCCACCACCACCACCACCACCCCGUACAUUCUCCAAUAAUAUUUGCUACGUUAUCGAUGACCUUAUUAGUGGCCUCCCUUCUUUUAUACAACAUGAUGUUGGAAUGGAGGUCAUAAAUAGUGUAAUUGAGGUCAUCAGAAAAGCCAAAAUAGCUGAUAAUUUGUAUGAUGUCUCCAAUUAAUUAGAUUUAACCCGAAAACUGCUGUACGCCUUCUGGGUGGCUUGGCGGCAAACUGCUGUAUGCCUUCUGGAAGUGCUCUUUUUAAACAGGCACCAUAAAGUUCCUGUGAUUUGUAUUUCUUUGAAAUGAUUUUUUUGUGUUCUAAUAACCUUUCUUUUAGUAAUUUAUAUCCUUCUAAUAAGAAUUUGGUUAUUUGUAUCAUAUUUAUAAAGGAAAACAAUGAAAUCACUAUGUUUUUAUUUUAUUUAGUCGACAUUGCAUUCCUUUCAUAGAUAUUAGAGUUUGAGUCUCAUGUAUGGUAAGAGGAAGCUAUAGUUUAGUAGUAUAGAAGUUGUUUUUGUAUAAUAGAAAAGUGAUAAAGCGAAUAAGAUUAUGGAAACAAGACCAUCUUCAUUAGACGUUUGUAACACUGUCAGACGUGUCGGCCCGGCCCGCACCGCGCGUCAUGAGUCAUGACUCAUCCUCUCUCUCUCUCUCUCUCUCUCUCUCUCUCUCUCUCUCUCUCUCUCUCUCUCUCUCUCUCUCUCUCUCUCUCUCUCUCUCUCUCACACACACACACACACACACACACACACACACACACACACACACACACACACACACACACAGAUAUAUAGUAUGAUAUGUAUGUUAUUGUGGCUUACACGGAACUAAUAUUUCGUUACUUUAUUUAUUGUGAACCAAGCAAAGGGGUAUUUUUGUUUCACUUAUUUAUUUUGAACAAAGUGUGUGAGAGAGAGAAAAAAAAAUUGUAAAAUAAUAGGAGGCUAGAGCAAUAUUUCGCAUUACCAUUACCAGUGCAUAUGCCUUUUUAUUUGACCAGUUUAUCCAUUCCAUAUGUAUGUUAUUUACUCCAUAUACUUUGAUACCAUUUACUUUAUUUGCGAUUCAAAAUAUUAGUGUCAGAAUAAUGGAAAGAAUAUUACUUAUACGGAAAUUGCCAUUAUAGAAAUAAAAUACUUUUGUUUUAUCAUUUAUUUCUCUUGAAGCAAGCAAGAAAGAGAGAGAGAGAGAGAGAGAGACAACAUUCGAGCAUUAACAACACUGUCCCGUCGACGAACAGUGGCAACAAGCAGUCUGUGUGUAUCCCCCCUGCCGCCUCCCCCUAGCUCCCCCCACCCAUCCCGCUCUCCACAAUGCCUCCAGAUACUGCCAGAAAUCCAUUUUUGUGGCGAAAAAUACUUAGAAAUAUGGUAGCUACAGUAAAUUUUGUUACAGAAUUGUUAAAUGAAGUAACUGUGACACAUCUUUUUAAAGUAUAUAUCUUUCAUUGAAAGUCAAUCUUUCGCUGAUUUAGCCGCACCAGGAGACACCCUCUGAAUGUGAAUGCCGCAGUUUACGGGUUAAUAAAAAGUGUUUCUAAAAUUAAAUCUUUUAUUUCUGUAACUUGUGUUCACAUAUACAUACAUACAACACGCACAUACACACAUACACAACAAACACACAGCCUAAUGUAGGAAGCACAUCCUAUCUUCCCAGGGUACACUAGCUUCAUUAUUAAAAUAGUCUCUAAAUG